UUCGCCUUAGCUGAAAGGUAUGGUUUUUUCUUAUAUUGUCUGAUGCAGAAGUAUACGCAACGAAACGACGCAAUGAAAUAAACAACAGUAGAUUGUUGACCAAGGGAAGAAAGGAGCCCAUUUCUGACGAGGUGUUUAGACGCUGACAGAAUGGACUGAGAGUGCCUGUAAUCCGAGUCAGAGCGGGUGUUUUUCACCCGAGUUAAUCACUCUACAAAGUGUUUUACAAAACAUGACUUACAAGGAAAGGUACCCAACUGUCCGGUUCCGAUUUGAUUUAUAUUAGAGUAGUCUAAAAUAACGGACACGUAUUUUUUUUAGCUGCCCAAACUCAAGCUAUUGGGAGAAAUUGUCCUCCAAAGUACUAAAAAGUUACUAAAUCUUCUAACUCCUAUAGAAAGUGAUGCUCAAGCAACUUGCUAGUUAAUGGCUGGUUUGAGUAUAUGUUUGAGAGCAGGAAAAAAUAAUGAGCGCGUGUUUUGUUUUGCGCCAUCGAAUAAAUUUACACUAGGGGUACAAAGCUCAUCUAAAAGUAUGGAAAACAAGAAAUAUAAUACAGUUACGUUUAUGUAUAUAGUUCUAUAUAAUCUUUUUUUUGUAUAAACUGUAAGGAAUCGAAUUGCUUCCUUCCUUUUGGAAGUUAAAAAAAAGCUUUUUUUAAACGUUCAGGACCUGUAUUUUUUAUCAAUUCCAUAUUAUUCUAAUAUUCACAUUAUUGUGAUACAUUUCACAUUUUCUAUCUAUAUUACAAGCUUUUGUUUAAUUUGCCUUGUUAGUAUGUAUGUUAUUUUGUUAGUCUCAAAUCUUGGAAGUUAAAUAUGACCCACUUCCCGAUUUCCGAUUGAGCUGACAUUUUGCACACAUAUGUAAAUCGGAUGACAAUGCAAUAUUAUGAUGACUUGAUGACAUCAAGUUGAUCCGAUGAUGGAGACAGGAGGUGGCCAUGGGAACUCUGUGAUAAAUAAAUAUAUGAUAAUGUGAAAAAAAAAACUUGUGUUUGGGUUUUUAGAAUUGUCUCAAAGAGUAUUAGUUGCUCGUGAAAAGAAAAGUACAGUCAGCGAUAAAAUCUUAUAUCAAAAAUGAAAAUUUUGCCAUAAACUUAAAUACUACCUAUGUAUAUUAUUAACGGCAUAUUGACCCAGGACGAUUCAUUAGACCUAUUUUCGACUCCUGAACCGAGAUUCUUAGCCACAGCCGGGCGCUACCUCGAGGCCAUAGUCGCCCCGAGCACCAUUAGCACUAAUUAGAUAAUAUGUACUUAUAUUUAAAUUCUGACUUCUUGUUUUUGGUAGUAAUUGAAUAUAGUUAUGUUAUAAUUCAAUUUUUAUAUUCCUAUGUGUCGUGUCUGGUGUAUACUGUAAGUGACAUUAUAAUAUAUAUAUAUAUAUAUAUACUCUUAGACCAAGGCAAUACAAGUAUGGCGUUUCAAAUAAUUGUUUUAUUUUAGGGGAUUCAACAUGAGGCCACAAAGGCCAUGUCAAAGUUACAAGGCAAACUAAUGAAUACACUG